rnacentral:rRNA from 1 species
UACGUAGGGGGCGAGCGUUGUCCGGAUUUAUUGGGCGUAAAGAGCGUGUAGGCGGCCGCACAGGUCCGUUGUGAAAACUGGAGGCUUAACCUUCAGACGUCGAUGGAAACCGUGCGGCUAGAGUCCGGAAGAGGAGAGUGGAAUUCCUGGUGUAGCGGUGAAAUGCGCAGAUAUCAGGAAGAACACCCGUGGCGAAGGCGGCUCUGUGGGACGGUACUGACGCUGAGACGCGAAAGCGUGGGGAGCGAACAGG